AGAGCAACGAGGCUGCUGAGUGACUCUGGCGGGGAGAGGGGGCCACAAGAUGAUUCCCCGCCUAAAAAGGACAGCGGGAAUUUCUUCACGCUACCUCAGAAAGAAUCUGCCAACUGCUGCCAACAUUUACUCAUAAGUGCCUUGAGCUUUUUCAAAGAAAGAAGCUUGACUGAGCAAAUUAUAAGACCAUAAGUUUUCAUUUUCCCCAGUGUCUUUUCUGCCGUGGUAAUGGCUUGAGGACUUAAAUCCUAUGCUGUUAUUGUGACUUCAAAGCCUUAAAAAUGCAAUUGAAUGAGGCAGUUCAUCUGUCAUUAUUCAAAUAUGAAGCAAUUAUGAUGAAAUAAAGAUAAAACUCUAUUGGGAAAUAGUCCUGUCAGUUUUCACUUAUAUUUAAUUCAAAACAUAAAAUGAUACUUAGAAUAGUAAGUUGAGGUAAUAAAAUUGAAGAAUAAAAAAACAUGGAUUACUGAUCUAAAACUGGGUCAUUUGUGGAAGUUUCGGGGCAUGUAAAUAAAAUGUGUCACCAAGAUCAAAUGAGAGUUUGGUGCAUGAUAAAAACAAAACAAAAGCCAUUCCCCUCCCCCCGCCAAAAAAAAACCCUACUAAUCAUUUAACUUGUCAAAACAUACCUAAACAAGUGUUACCCACUAGAAGUUUGAAAAUCCUUCAAGAUCUUGGGUCUUUAGAUCUUAAAUGAAGUCAUGUUAAAAUAGAAAGAAAUGAAAAACCAAAUUUAAUUCCUUAGUAAGGAUUACAGAUCUUGUUUCAUUAAAAAAUUUGGUAGUGAUAUAACUCAAGUCUAAGAACAUGGUCCAAAUGUCCACUCAUUUUAAGUUAGAAAGACUGUUGGAUCCUCUUUAUAUACAAUGGGAAGUCCAUCAGAAUCCCAGGUAAGAACCCAUUGGUUUUUGGUCAAUGUAUUCUGAUCUCUAAGAGCCAGAAAAGUGAAAGGCAAUUCUAAAAAGCUCAUGGAAGGUAACCCCCAAAACUGUAUUGGGUGACAUAAUCAUUUCAGUACCUGCAACAUUUUUUUUACACCUGGUGGCAGUUGUGGCUUAGAUCCUCAGUUGCUGUGGCUGUGGCAUAGUCCAAGGUUGUGAAAGACCUGUAUAUUGGAAACUAUAAAAUAUAAUAAAUUUAUGAAAGAAAUAAAUGAAAGAAAUGGAAGAAGACACAAAGUUCAUGAAGUAGAAGAAUUCACGUUGCUAAAGUAUUCAUAAUAUGCAAAACAAUGUAUGGAUUCAACACAAUCCUUAUCAAAAUUGCAAUGAUGUUUUUCAUAGAAAUAGAAUGAACAAUCGUAAAAUUUCUAUGGGACAACAAAAGACCUCAAAUAGGAAAGCAAUCUUGAGAAAGAAGAACAAAGCUGGAGGCAUCAAGCACUCUUAUUUCAAACUAUGUUACGAAGCUAUGGUAGUUAGAAUGAUAUUAACAUAAAAACACAUAAAUUAGUGGACCAGAACAGAAAGCCUAGAAAUAAACCCAUGCAUACAUAUAUCAGUUAGUUUACAUCAGUGGUGCCAAAGGGUAUUCAAUGAGAAAAGAGCAUCUCUUCAAUAAAUGGUGAUGGGUAAAUUGGACCACCAUAUUCUAAAGAAUGCAGCAGGACCACUAUCUUAUACCAUACAGAUGACCAUUUAAAACAUUGUUUACAUUUACUUUGAAAUUUUAGAAAAAGUACUUUUCUGAAAAGUAUAUAGCUGCUAAGAAGGAAGUAAUACCCCAAUUAAAGUAGACAAGUUACACCUGUGAGAAUGUUGGGUAAAAGUUAUGAGAAGGCAUUGUUUCUUGAAUUUCUAAUAUUAAUUAGAAUAAUAAUCUAUUAUAGGUUAGAUAAAAAUUUGUGCAUAGAGUGCAAUUACUCUCUUUCCACUAAUUUCCUACCUGUGUGUUCAUUUCAAAAUUUGGGCUAGAAGGAAAAAACUGGUAUAUGUCUAAAGGCUGAGAGACUUUUGACCUAGAGAACUAAGGAUCAGGGUGGUUGUGGUAUUCAGAAAAUAUCUCCCUUUCUCCAUAGGUUUCAAGAGGUAGGAUUAGGUUAGUAUCAAGUAUUUUGAGUGGCAAAAUGCUAGGAUUAUGUUCAAAGCCACUGUGAGAGUUUGAAACAGGUAUGAAAGAAUGAACCAAGCAUUCACACAGGUGAUACCACCUCCUCUUGGCUGGGGUGGAAUCAAGUGCAUGGAAAGAGUUGCUCACGCACUUCUUACAAGUCAAUGAAUAGAUCUUGCUCUUCAUGCUAAAUUUCCCGUAUUUGAAAUGUGUGUAGCAGUUGAAGCCAGAUAAUCCUCUAAGGUGCUAUUCAGUUUUCUAACAGUAGAGAAGCAGGUUUAUGAGGACACUUGACCUGAAAACAGAAACAUCAGCAAGGCCUAUUUGUUAUCUCCACUGAGAGGGUUGUGUAUCAGUUGAGAAUUGCAGAAUCUUCACAGAAAGAGUAUAGAAAUAGGAAAAGUAACAUUCAAAGAAUGAGAACUUUAGAGUUCUGGUAAUUGACCGUGCUGGUCCUGAGUUUCUGCAUCUGUAAAAUGUGCGGAUUAGGAUGGAUGUAAGGGCCCAGGUGACCCCUAAACAAACCGCAGAUCCACAAAGAAGGUGACAUUGAAGACCUAUAUUCCUUAAUUAAGUUCAAUGUGAAUAUGUUUUCCUCCCUCCAUUAUGGGAUGCUAUUGUUGACUUCUAGAUAAAGUUCAUGGCUUAUAUUUUGUAAAAAUAAAUAUUUGGAAAUAUUUAUUUAUU